rnacentral:misc_RNA from 1 species
GAUGAAGAACGUAGUGAGAUGCGAUAAGUAAUGUGAAUUGCAGAAUUCAGUGAAUCAUCGAAUCUUUGAACGCACAUUGCGCCCCCUGGUAUUCCGGGGGGCAUGCCUGUUCGAGCGUCAUUUCACCACUCAAGCCUCGCUUGGUAUUGGGCAACGCGGUCCGCCGCGUGCCUCAAAUCGUCCGGCUGGGUCUUCUGUCCCCUAAGCGUUGUGGAAACUAUUCGCUAAAGGGUGUUCGGGAGGCUACGCCGUAAAACAACCCCAUUUCUAAGGUUGACCUCGGAUCAGGUAGGGAUACCCGCUGAACUUAAGCAUAUCAAUAAGCGGAGGA